AUGGGUAGCUAUGUAAUCGGCAUCCACCGCCAGCAUAGAGUGAAGCAGUCUGAUAAAAAAGAGUUGAAGGUCAUAUGCAUCCACACCGUGAAAGGUUGCCGCGGAAGAGUUCUCGCUAGACUGAAGGCUGGGGUAUGUCAGCCAUGGCAUAUCACAAAAAUAGUGGAGCAUACCUAUGAGCAAACUGGGACUCUUUCAAAUCACUGCAAUGUGACAGCAAAAUAUGUGGCACGGACGAUGGAAAAGAUUGUGCAGGGAAGUCUCAACAUUAGUGUUAGGGCUCUGCAAAAAGAUGUAGAGGAUCAAAUUGGCUUCCCUGUUAGCUACAAUAAGGCUAGGCGUGCGAAGGAAAAUAUAUUCAAGAACUUGUAUGGUACCUAUGAGGAGGCCUAUUCUUAUGCCCCUAGAAUGCUUCAUCAGAUAGCAAGUGCUAAUAGGGGGACUCAAGUUUGGCGGAGAGAACGUCCAAACCCAAUGAACACGGGUGAACUAAUCCUGGACCGCUUAUUCUGGGCAUUCGCCCAGACUAUACAAGCCUUCAGGCACUGUCGCCCGGUAUUAUCAGUGGAUGGUACCUUUCUCACUGGAAAGUACAAGGGCACACUAUUGGUGGCGAUUGCAGCAGAUGCAAAUAAUCAGCUUCUUCCUAUUGCAUAUGCAUUGAUCGAGAGCGAGAACAAAGAUAGCUGGUUGUGGUUCCUGAGCUACAUGAAGAUGGGUGUUGUGAAAGAGCGUGAAGGUGUUUGCAUCAUCUCUGAUCGCAUCACUGGAUUAUUAAGCGCUCUUGACAUAAUUAAGGCGUCGAAAGAAGAGUGGGGCUGGCCCGAUCUAGAGGGAAGGUGGUGCAUGAGGCAUUUGGCAGCAAACUUUUACUCCAAAUUCAAAAACAAGGAUUGGUUCAAGUUAUUCAAGAGGAUGUGCAUGCAAAAAACUGAAGCCAAAAUGAAUGCGAUCUGGGCAGGUAUCAAUGGUGAGAUCGACCGCGCGGCCUUGCCACAGAGAGAAGACCGGAGGGGUCGUAGGACGCCCAUAAAUUUGAGCCAGUGGAUCGGCAAGAAUUGCCCUCAUUUGGACAAGUGGGCGCAGGCUCACGACACCGGGGCUCGGUGUGGAAUAAUGACCAGCAACAUGUCAGAGGUGUACAAUGGUGUUCUUAAAGGGGUGCGAGCACUGCCUAUCACAACCCUAAUUGAAGAAACUUGGAACCGGACCUUGUCAUACUUUGCAGACAGGAUCCGAGAAGAUGCAAAGACAUCUGGACGAGAAAGCAAAGAAGUCCCAAAGUCAUGGCAGCAGGAAAGUGGACGCACUUAG
rnacentral:rRNA from 1 species